GAUGAACGCUGGCGGCGUGCCUAAUACAUGCAAGUCGAGCGAACGGACGAGAAGCUUGCUUUUCUGAUGUUAGCGGCGGACGGGUGAGUAACACGUGGAUAACCUACCUAUAAGACUGGGAUAACUUCGGGAAACCGGAGCUAAUACCGGAUAAUAUUUUGAACCGCAUGGUUCAAAAGUGAAAGACGGUCUUGCUGUCACUUAUAGAUGGAUCCGCGCUGCAUUAGCUAGUUGGUAAGGUAACGGCUUACCAAGGCAAUGAUGCAUAGCCGACCUGAGAGGCUGAUCGGCCACACUGGAAGUGAGACACGGUCCAGACUCCUACGGGAGGCAGCAGCAGGGAAUCGUCCGCAAUGGGCGAAAGCCUGACGGAGCAACGCCGCGUGAGUGAUAAAGGUCUUCGGAUCGUAAAACUCUGUUAUUAGGGAAGAACAUAUGUGUAAGUAACUGUGCACAUCUUGACGGUACCUAAUCAGAAAGCCACGGCUAACUACGUG
rnacentral:rRNA from 1 species